rnacentral:lncRNA from 1 species
CUGGGAUGUGGCUCCAGAAUCUGCCUUUUCAAGAGUGACUACUGGUUGGGAAGCUCCAAUGCAACCGACUCAUUGCUUUGAAGAUUAGCGAGGUGCACACAGUGAGAGUAAACCAGGAGACACGUGCCGUUCAGGGUUAAGAUCAGAACAUAAUGUCAAUUAAAUCCACGUGGGUUCUGAAGAAGUCUUGGGAAGAUGAUCAUUGUCCCUGAAGAUGACCAUCUGAAGAUCAUUGCUCUCCAGCCUUGCCUCAUGAUUGGAAUCAGCUGGGGAACUCUGUAAAGCAGCUCGUUCCUGGCUUUGUCUCCUAGAACAGUGGUUCCCAGCUUCAUCCGCCCCCUGGGAUCACCUAGGGAACGUUUAGCAAUCCAGACAUACAGGCCACACUGCAGACUGAAUCAAAAUCUCUAGGACUCAGGUGUGAGUAUUUUUUUGAAGCUCCCCUGUGAUUUCAAUGUGCAGUCGAGGUUUGAGUGACUGUGCUGGAGACUGAUUCCAGAAGUCAGGGGUGGUGACCAAGAAUCAGUAUUUUUAGGACGAGCUCCAGAUGAUUCUUGUGAACACAAAGUUUGGAAGUUACUAAAUUUGAUAUAUAGGGAUCUAUUUCAAAUUAUUUAAAGAACCAUCCACAUUUGACUUCAUACUAAACGGUGCAAAAAAAUUGAAACCCGCAUUGGAGAAGAAGUCUUGUUUGUCUUCAUUGCUAUAGCUCCAAGAGGAAAAUUUGAAAAUGGAAGAUCCUCAAUAUAUUAGCCCUGUGCUAACAUCUGCUGCCGAUCCUCUUCUUUUUGCUGAGGAAGACUGGCCCUGAGCUAACAUCCAUGCCCAUCUUCCUCUACUUUAUAUGUGGGAUGCCUGCCACAGCAUGGCUUGCCAAGCGGUGCCGUGUCCACACCCAGGAUCCGAAUCAGCAAAACCCAGGCCACCAAAGCGGAACUUGCAAACUUUAACUGCUGUGCCACCAGGCUGGCCCCUAUUGUCAUUUUUUAUUGUCAUGUAAAAAAUAGCUUUAUUUCUUUUUGUGACUGUAAAAACUAAUAUAGCCAUUAUGAAAAAAAAAGUCAAAUAAUACAGAAAAUAUGGAGAAGAGAACACAGCCUAAAAUCCCAUCUUAAAUAUAUAAAAAAUUUUACAUAAAUGGAAUCAAAUUGUAUAUAAUAAUUUUCUUCUCUUAGAAUUAUGUUAUCUGACUACUUUUACAAAAAAAUUUUAGGGGCCGGCUCCAUGGCCGAGUGGUUAAGUUUGCGUGCUCCACUCCCGCGGCCCAGGGUUCGGAUCCUGGGCGUGGACAUGGCACUGCUCGUCAGGCCACGUUGAGGCGGCAUCCC